rnacentral:tRNA from 9 species
CGCGGGAUGGAGCAGUCUGGUAGCUCGUUGGGCUCAUAACCCAAAGGUCGCAGGUUCAAAUCCUGCUCCCGCAACCA